rnacentral:rRNA from 1 species
CUACGGGUGGCUGCAGUGAGGAAUAUUGCGCAAUGGGGGGAAACCCUGACGCAGCGACGCCGCGUGAGUGAGGAAGGCCCUCGGGUCGUAAAGCUCUGUCAAGAGGAAAGAAGUGCAUAGUAGCUAAUAUCUGCUAUGUUUGACGGUACCUCUAAAGGAAGCACCGGCUAACUCCGUGCCAGCAGCCGCGGUAAUACGGAGGGUGCAAGCGUUGUUCGGAAUCACUGGGCGUAAAGGGCGCGCAGGCGGCCUGGUAAGUCAGAUGUGAAAGCCCACGGUUUAACCGUGGAAGUGCAUUUGAAACUGUCAGGCUUGAGUACCAGAGGGGAAAGUGGAAUUCCCGGUGUAGAGGUGAAAUUCGUAGAUAUCGGGAGGAAUACCGGUGGCGAAGGCGACUUUCUGGCUGAGUACUGACGCUGAGGCGCGAAAGCGUGGGGAGCAAACAGGAUUAGAUACCCUUGUAGUC